AGGACGAACGCUGGCGGCGUGCUUAACACAUGCAAGUCGAGCGGAAAGGCCCCUUCGGGGGUACUCGAGCGGCGAACGGGUGAGUAACACGUGGGUAACCUGCCCCAAAGCCCGGGAUAACGUUUCGAAAGGAACGCUAAUACCGGAUGUUGUGCAACCUGCCAAGCGGGUUGUACCAAAGGUAGCUUCGGCCUCCGCUUUGGGAUGGGCCCGCGCAGCAUUAGCUUGUUGGUGGGGUAACGGCCUACCAAGGCUACGAUGCUUAGCUGGUCUGAGAGGACGAUCAGCCACACUGGGACUGAGAUACGGCCCAGACUCCUACGGGAGGCAGCAGUGGGGAAUCUUGCGCAAUGGGCGAAAGCCUGACGCAGCAACGCCGCGUGAGCGAAGAAGGCCUUCGGGUUGUAAAGCUCUGUCAGGAGGGACGAAGCCACUCGGGUUAAUAGCCCAGAGGGUGACGGUACCUCCAGAGGAAGCCCCGGCUAACUACGUGCCAGCAGCCGCGGUAAUACGUAGGGCGCAAGCGUUGUCCGGAAUUAUUGGGCGUAAAGAGCUCGUAGGCGGUUUGUUACGUCCGCUGUGAAAACCCAGGGCUUAACCCUGGGCUUGCAGUGGAUACGGGCAGACUAGAGGCAGGUAGGGGAGAAUGGAAUUCCCGGUGUAGCGGUGAAAUGCGCAGAUAUCGGGAGGAACACCGGUGGCGAAGGCGGUUCUCUGGGCCUGACCUGACGCUGAGGAGCGAAAGCGUGGGGAGCGAACAGGAUUAGAUACCCUGGUAGUCCACGCUGUAAACGUUGGGCGCUAGGUGUGGGGUCCUUCCACGGACUCCGUGCCGCAGCUAACGCAUUAAGCGCCCGCCUGGGGAGUACG
rnacentral:rRNA from 1 species